GAUGAACGCUGGCGGCGUGCCUAAUACAUGCAAGUCGAGCGAACAGACGAGGAGCUUGCUCCUCUGACGUUAGCGGCGGACGGGUGAGUAACACGUGGAUAACCUACCUAUAAGACUGGGAUAACUUCGGGAAACCGGAGCUAAUACCGGAUAAUAUAUUGAACCGCAUGGUUCAAUAGUGAAAGACGGUUUUGCUGUCACUUAUAGAUGGAUCCGCGCCGCAUUAGCUAGUUGGUAAGGUAACGGCUUACCAAGGCAACGAUGCGUAGCCGACCUGAGAGGGUGAUCAGCCACACUGGAACUGAGACACGGUCCAGACUCCUACGGGAGGCAGCAGUAGGGAAUCUUCCGCAAUGGGCGAAAGCCUGACGGAGCAAAGCCGCGUGAGUGAUGAAGGUCUUCGGAUCGUAAAACUCUGUUAUUAGGGAAGAACAAAUGUGUAAGUAACUAUGCACGUCUUGACGGUACCUAAUCAGAAAGCCACGGCUAACUACGUG
rnacentral:rRNA from 1 species